CUUUCUUCCAGGGAAUAUCAAUUACAAAACCAUUCAAAAGAAGAGAUUACAUAAGGCACUGAAAUAGACUCCACCUGAAACAAAACUCAAAUUUAUAUAUAUAUAUAUGUGUGUGUGCGCGUGUGAGUGCGUGUAUUUAAAUAGUGUUGUAAUACCACGCGUGUCCGGUAGAGGUCACAAGAGUCCUUCAGAUGAGCUUGUUCUCAAUCUGCACCUGAAGGGCUUUAUCAGUGAUGAUUGAGAACGAUUACAUUAUUAUGCCAUUUCACAAGAUGAAUAUGCACAUUAGGAGUGGAUUUGGGUUACUGUACUUAAUCCAUCUUUUUUUUUGCUCAUCAAAUCAACCUUUUUCCCUUACGAGCAAAUGCAUGCCAGCAGGCCGCAUCUUAUUUUCCCAAAUGUGAUGCAUUGCUUUAUCGCUAAUUAUGAAUAUGCAAAUGAAGGCAGGCUCAAUGAGAAGUGUUUUGAAAAAUAGACUCCCUAAGGCCUUGAUUGAUUAUAUCACACAUGAGAGUGUUUCUAUAGAGAACUGCAGAAAAAUCACACCUCGAUUUCUUUUCUUGUUGAGAUUUAUAUUGUGCAAGUAAAAUAAGUUUUGAAUUCGAUUCAAGUAGGAUUAGAUAUUUGUUUUGCAUGGAGCAAGUUUAGUCCAGCUAAAUCUGUUGUAUCCAUACUGCUGUCUGUAAAGUGAAUCUUUGAAUCAGAUAUGCAUCUGUGGAUGUCAUCAAACAUUGCAUCUGUUUGCCUGUUCAGCUGCACUUUCACAGGUUUAGUUUCUUGAGCGACGCUGAUAAUGUGCCAGAUUACGGACACUGAAGAUGUAAAAUGUGUCAGAUGUGUGUUUGUGAGCUCUGUGGUGCUUCUCACUACAGCUUUAUUUGACAGAACAGCUGUGUGAAACACAGGGAGACGAUGUCCCACGAGAUCCAGAGACCGAACAGACCUCACAAGUGCAGUUUUACUUUCCUGUGAUGACUUUUUUUUUUUUUUUUUUCUGUUGGCACAGGACAUAUUGAAGAGCUUGUCCUUUUAUUAAUGAAAGCAAGGUCUGAUAAUAAGCUGUACUUUGGAUCCAAUUAAGUCACUUUAGAUAAAAGUGUCUGUUAAAUGCAUAUGUGAAACACAUCAUUAAGACGUUUUAGCUUCAAAACAUUGGUUAAAUAUGAGACUGUAUUCGGUAAUAAUUCUUACUCUGGUGAAAAAGUGUUCUGGUGUGAAUCAGGAGAGAAAUCUGCACAGAUCAAGCAGCGUUUAAACAGCUCUAAACAAAUCUGUGGCUGGAUUUUGAUGUGAGAGACAACAGCAGAUGCACUUUUUCACUGGAGGAAGUGUUAUUAUGGAUUAUAGACUCUAUGUGUUUGAGUUAAAAAACGUCUUAAUGCUGGAUUUGUUUCAGCUUUUGUCUUCUCCAGAUGUUAACUGAUGGACUGGAGUGCUGUGGAUUACUUGUGGAUUAUUGUGAUGUUUUUAUGGACUCUCAUUCUGACGGCACCCAUUCAGAGCAUCCAUUGCUGAGACAUUUCUCCAAAUCUGAUGAAGAAACAAACUCAUCUAAACCUCGGAUGUCCUGAGGACUUGUUGAAAAAAAAAAAAAAGAUGGAAAAGGAAAAAAACUGUAUUUUUUUCUUCACAAGUGCUUCAGACAAUAGAGACUGAAGCUGAAAUCAGAAUUGCUCAACUUUGCGGCCACAAUUAUAAUUUUUUUAUUAAUAAGCACCAGCUGUGCUUUAAAGACUCGUCUCAUCGGCUUCUUCAAGGUAUUCACAGUGCAAUUACAUCGUCCUGCGUUCGUGAAGCCAUCUGUUUGAGCCUUUGUGCCUCUGUGCAGAUGUUGGAGAGAGAUUUCAGGACUCGUUUCUAAAGACUCGGGGGAGAGAAGUGUUUAGAUAAGCAUGUUAAAUUGAAGCACUUCAGACGUGGCAUUCAUCUGUCCAACAUCACAUUUCAAAUUCAAUCCUAUGUGCAUAAAAUAAAUCAUAACAUGCAGUAGCUUCUUUUUUGACUAGUGCUUCAGGCAAUAACACACUGAUGCUAUUUGCACUUUUAAUCACUGUCAUUGUUCUCUUGAACUUUCUAUUCAUCUGUGAAUCCUGAAAAUUAAAAAGUAUGACGGUUUCCACAAUAAUAACUGUUUUUAAUGAUUUCUGAAGAUCAUGUGACACUGAAGACUGGAGUAAUGAUGCUGAAAAUUCAGCUGCACAUCACAGAAAUAAAUUACAGUUUAACAGAUAUUCACAUAGAAAACACUUAUUUUAAAUAAGAAUAAUAUUUCGCAAUAUUACUGAUUUUACUGUAUUUUUAGUCAAAUUAAUGUAACAGUAGUGAGCAGAAGAGAUUAAAAUAAUUUAAACAUUUUUAACAAAUCUUAAUGGUCCCCAGCUUUUUAAUAGUAGUGUGAAUGUAGCAAAUAUGUAUUCUUUAUUCUCACACAUUUUCA
ensembl:lncRNA